rnacentral:rRNA from 1 species
AGAGUUUGAUCCUGGCUCAGGACGAACGCUGGCGGCGUGCUUAACACAUGCAAGUCAAGGGGGCCCGCAAGGGCAACCGGCGAACGGGUGCGUAACACGUGAGCAAGCUUCCGAUUUGUGGGGGAUAGCCGGCCCAACGGCCGGGUAAUACCGCAUACGUUCAUUAGACGGCAUCGUCUGAUGAGGAAACCUCCGGGGCAAAUCGAGGCGCUCGCGGCCUAUCAGCUAGUUGGCGAGGUAACGGCUCACCAAGGCGACGACGGGUAGCUGGUCUGAGAGGAUGGCCAGCCACAUUGGGACUGCUACACGGCCCAGACUCCUACGGGAGGCAGCAGUGGGGAAUAUUGCGCAAUGGACGAAAGUCUGACGCAGCGACGCCGCGUGUGGGAUGAAGCCUUUCGGGGUGUAAACCACUGUUGCCCGGGACGAACAUCCUCUUUCGAGAGGACUGACGGUACCGGGUGAGGAAGCACCGGCUAACUCUGUGCCAGCCGCCGCGGUAAUUC